rnacentral:rRNA from 1 species
ACUCUGAUCCAGCCAUGCCGCGUGCAGGAAGACUGCCCUAUGGGUUGUAAACUGCUUUUAUACAGGAAGAAACACCUCUACGUGUAGAGAUUUGACGGUACUGUAAGAAUAAGGAUCGGCUAACUCCGUGCCAGCAGCCGCGGUAAUACGGAGGAUCCAAGCGUUAUCCGGAAUCAUUGGGUUUAAAGGGUCCGUAGGUGGAUAAUUAAGUCAGAGGUGAAAUCCUGCAGCUUAACUGUAGAAUUGCCUUUGAUACUGGUUGUCUUGAGUUGUUAUGAAGUGGUUAGAAUAUGUAGUGUAGCGGUGAAAUGCAUAGAUAUUACAUAGAAUACCAAUUGCGAAGGCAGAUCACUAAUAAUAUACUGACACUGAUGGACGAAAGCGUGGGGAGCGAACAGGAUUAGAUACCCUGGUAGUCCACGCCGUAAACGAUGGUCACUAGCUGUUCGGGUUUCGAUCUGAGUGGCUAAGCGAAAGUGAUAAGUGACCCACCUGGGGAGUACGUUCGCAAGAAUGAAACUCAAAUG